rnacentral:rRNA from 1 species
GACGAACGCUGGCGGCGUGCUUAACACAUGCAAGUCGAACGAAGUGGCGAACGGGUGAGUAAUACGUGGGUAACCUGCCCUCCUUUUUGGGAUAAGCCUUGGAAACGGGGUCUAAUACCGAAUAAAGGGGGAUGGGCUCGCGGCCUAUCAGCUUGUUGGUGGGGUGAUGGCCUACCAAGGCGGUGACGGGUAGCCGGCCUGAGAGGGUGACCGGCCACAGUGGGACUGAGAUACGGCCCAGACUCCUACGGGAGGCAGCAGUGGGGGAUAUUGCACAAUGGGCGAAAGCCUGAUGCAGCGACGCCGCGUGGGGGAUGAAGGCUUUCGGGUUGUAAACUCCUUUCACCAUCGACGCGGUAGAUGGAGAAGAAGCACCGGCUAACUACGUGCCAGCAGCCGCGGUAAUUC